rnacentral:rRNA from 1 species
UGAAGAAUUUUGUCCAAACGGUGGGGGGAUAGCCGGCCCAACGGCCGGGUAAUACCGCGUACGCCCUUCGAGCGGCAUCGCUUGAUGGGGAAAGUCACAAGACGCCGAUGGAGAACUUCGCGGCCUAUCAGGUAGUUGGUGAGGUAACGGCUCACCAAGCCGACGACGGGUAGCUGGUCUGAGAGGAUGGCCAGCCACAUUGGAACUGAGACACGGUCCAGACUCCGUACGGGAGCAG